ACCUCGGUGGUGUAGUGGUAGCACGCGUCCCCGGUAUGAAUGAAAUGCGGGCUCGACUCCCGCCUGAGGUU